rnacentral:rRNA from 1 species
AUUGAACACUGGCGGCAGGCCUAACACAUGCAAGUCGAACGAGUAGCGGACGGGUGAGUAAUGUCUGGGAAACUGCCUAAUGGAGGGGGAUAACUACUGGAACCGGUAGCUAAUACCGCAUACCGUCCGAUGUGCCGUGGGGGAUUUAGCUAGUUGGGGGGGUAACGGCUCACCAAGGCGACGAUCCCUAGCUGGCCUGAGAGGCUGACCAGCCACACUGGAACUGAGACACGGUCCAGACUCCUACGGGAGGCAGCAGUGGGGAAUAUUGCACAAUGGGCGCAAGUCUGAUGGAGCCAUGCCGCGUGUAUGAAGAAGGCUUUCGGGUUGUAAAGUACUUUUAGCGGGGAGGCGGUACCUGCAGAAGAAGCCCCGGCUAACUCCGUGCCAGCAGCCGCGGUAAUUC